UACGUAGGGUGCGAGCGUUAAUCGGAAUUACUGGGCGUAAAGGGUGCGCAGGCGGUUAUAUAAGACAGAUGUGAAAUCCCCGGGCUCAACCUGGGAACUGCGUUUGUGACUGUAUGACUAGAGUACGGUAGAGAGGGGUGGAAUUCCUGGUGUAGCAGUGAAAUGCGUAGAUAUCAGGAGGAACAUCGAUGGCGAAGGCAGCCCCUUGGACCUGUACUGACGUUCAUGCACGAAAGCGUGGGGAGCAAACAGG
rnacentral:rRNA from 1 species